rnacentral:rRNA from 1 species
GAUGAACGCUAGCGGCAGGCCUAAUACAUGCAAGUCGAACGGGAUUAAGAGGCUUGCUUCUUAUGAGAGUGGCGCACGGGUGCGUAACACGUAUGCAACCUACCUUCAACUGGGGGAUAGCCUUCCGAAAGGGAGAUUAAUACCGCAUAACAUAAUUGAACGGCAUCGUUUAAUUAUCAAACUCUCAGGGGUUGAAGAUGGGCAUGCGUCCGAUUAGUUAGUUGGUGAGGUAACGGCUCACCAAGACAUCGAUCGGUAGGGGAUCUGAGAGGAUUGCCCCCCACACUGGUACUGAGACACGGACCAGACUCCUACGGGAGGCAGCAGUAAGGAAUAUUGGUCAAUGGACGCAAGUCUGAACCAGCCAUGCCGCGUGCAGGAAGACGGUCCUCUGGAUUGUAAACUGCUUUUGUUAGGGAAGAAACCCUCGGAUGCGUUCGAGGCUGACGGUACCUAAAGAAUAAGGAUCGGCUAACUCCGUGCCAGCCGCCGCCGUAAGAC